rnacentral:rRNA from 1 species
UACGUAGGGGCGAGCGUUGUCCGGAAUUAUUGGCGUAAGAGCGUGUAGGCGGUUCGGUAAGUCUGCCGUGAAAACCUGGGGCUCAACCCCGGCGUGCGGUGGAUACUGCCGGGCUAGAGGGUGGUAGAGGCGAGUGGAAUUCCCGGUGUAGCGGUGAAAUGCGCAGAUAUCGGGAGGAACACCAGUAGCGAAGGCGGCUCGCUGGGCCAUUCCUGGACGCUGAGA